UGUCCAGGACCCAGGCUAGGGGUGGAGUUUGCCAAGAUGGCCUUAGGAGUGGCACAUUGUGCAGCUGACAUGGGAGGAAGUGGCCCCAGCAAAGGCUGCCGAUCCCCUCUGGACUCUUGUGUCCCUCCAGGCUCCUACUGAGGGCAGAGGGUGUCUGUAUUGAGCAUCAUGAGCUGUUGGUAGUGCAGUGGCCCCCUCAGUGCUUUUCCAGGGCCUAGAGCCCUCAGGGCACUGGGCAGGACCCAUUGCCCGAUCCCUGACCCUCAGGUGGGUGAGUGCUAGGAGCGGUCUCUUGGCAAGCAGGUCCUGUAGGCUAUGGCCGCAUUGGUGUCACCCAGUGUGGGUCCUCCUUCCCUUGUCCUGGAAACACUGAGGAGAGAGCCCUCAGGGCAGAAAUGGAUGUGCCCCUCAGAGCCUGAGGUGCUGGCAGCAUAGUUUUGGGCCAGGUAGGCUGGGAGAGACAUGCUGACCAUAUAACUGAGAUUCCAUUCCUGCGAGUUCUCUGGGGAAACGCCAAGUUGGAUUUCCACAAAGACCUGUUUAUCAAUCUGUUGCUGCUCCAUUCCCAGAUCUAGAUCCUGAGGUGACCCAACUUCAUCCUCUUAUUUAAAAAAAAAUUUUUUUUAAUUUAUUUGAAUGACAGAAUUAGAGAAUGAUCCUCCAUCUGCCAGUUCUCUCCCCAUGUUGCCACCACAGUCAGGGCAGGUCAGGAGAAAGCCAGGAGCUUCCUCCAUGUCUCUCACAUGUACAGGGGCGCAGGGACUUGGGCCAUCCUCUGCUGCUUUCUCAGGCACAUUAGCAGGGAGCUGCAAGUUGCCUCAGGGUGUGGGAUCGCACAUUGCACCAUGAUGCCAGCCCACAUCCAGCUUUUCUAGAGCGUGUCUUCGUGUUUCAGUUGUUCUGGGCAUAGCACUGUGGGUCCUGUUGCUUUUCCCAUCUGAUUAGAGUCCCUUUUCUUCCUGUUCGGCAGAGUAAUGAAACCUUAGGGCCGCACGAUUCUUUGACCCUCUGCUCUGUUGUGACUGUUCCCCUUGGUGUGACCUUUGUACAAACAGAGCCUCACCCUCUGAGUCUGUGCUUUCUGUUUUGGGUUCUGCAGAUGUCGUUUAGAGAAUUUAAGGGCGAAAACACAGCCAGCAGUGAUUUAAAUCCUUAACGUUUCUCCUGCUCUUCAUUACUCCUGAUGUACCAGACUUCCUGUGGGCAGGAUUUCACUUUAGCCUGAAGAAUUCCAUCCACCUGGUGCUGUUUUGAUAGCAAGUGGUCUUCUGAUGACUGCUCUUAGUAUUCCUUCUUGUCCAUCACCCCUCCUUUUUCUGCAUAGGGGGCUGAGAUCCUUCAGGGUGUCUUGGUUCCCUGGAGAUUCCUGGGGAGGUCUUUUCUUUCCACACUUGGAGGACAGGGUUCUAGUAUCCUGUGGACUUUGUGUUUUCUGAUGAGAAGUCAAACCCUCUCAUGUGGGUAUUCCCUCAUUGGGAGCGUGUCAUUGGCUCUGAUUUCAAGAUUUCUCCUUUUUUGUGCAUUGCUCACAUGUCCCUGUAAUGCUUCUGAGCUACUUGGAUUGUAUUCCUAAAAGGGCGAUCUUCCUGGCCAUUGGAUUCUUUAUGGAUUUUGUUGUUCACUGCCCCCCCCAUUCCCCUCCCCAUUUCAGGCUCCCAAACAUUAGGACUCUAGCUCUGGUUCACACAUCUCUGAGGCUCCAUUCAUUUAGCUUCCAGCUUCUUCCCUUCUUUUUGUUCUUCAACUUGUACCUUUCUGUUGAUUGGCAUGUAAUCUGAUCCUUCCUCAUUUUCUACACUCUGGUCCUGAUUCCAUCCAUUGCAUUUUGAUAUGAAUGUUGUACGUUCAGGCCUGACAUUUCCAGCUUGUGUUUUUCAUGUAAUUCUUUUUCUGCUCAGAACAUUUUCUUCCCAUUAAUUUCCAGAGCAUUUGCCUUUCCUUCUUUGGAAAUGGUUAGAGGAGAUGCUGUCCCUAGUCAUUCCUCUAUGAGGACAGGUUCAGAGCCAAUCGGUGGUCUUUUUCUUUGAGAGCUGAUCAGACUGUCCUAGUCAUCUCUAUGUUUUGUUGUGUACUGCUCCGUGGUAUUCUGGACAGUGUGGGAGACUAAAAGCUCUCAGGAGGAUGCUCAUUUUCCUUCUCCGUUGCUUUGUGAAGCAAACCACAUAGCGCACAUCUAACUGAUCUUGGUGUUUUGGCUCAUGUCCUACAGUGGUGCCCCUUUGUGCAGUUUUCAACUCAUUUUCAUGGAGCUGUGUCCACUGAGACCUUGUCCCCUCAGAGGUCACCUGGAAGUCAAUUGCUUGGUUUCUUGGGGGCUCAGUUCAGCAGUCUUUCUUCCUCUGGGGCGUGGCCUGUGUAGGUGCAGUCAGAGGGAUCUCACAUCUUGUGCUGAUUCAUCUGCAGACUAUUUGUCCCCUGCAGCUCUCUGAUGUGCACAGUUCUCCUGACCUAUGCAAGUGCUGCUCUUCCAUGUUCUUCUCAGUGGUGUUUACCCUCAUGCCGUGGUCCAGAUCCACCGACAAGAAUACCUGUGAGCUUCCAGCUACUGUGAGUGCUGGGAGGCUGCAGGUCAUGGUGCAACUACCAGGGUCCCUGACACCCUUGUGGAAGACCUGGAUUCAGUUCCUGGGUCCUGGAACCACUCUGCCCCAGCUCUUCCUGAGACUCUCUGCCCCUGCAACUCUCUGAUGUCUUCUCCAGACUUGCUCUGAGAGGGCAGUCACCAGCUGGACACUAAAUAUUCCUAAUUGGACCUCAAAAGUCUCACUGUUUUUAAUCUCUGCACCCCAAGACAAGAGACUCAGGUAUGGAUGUGAAUCUUUGGCUGCUCUGCUGUGUUCCCUGUGUACUGCUGAGUGUGCCAGCCAUGGAGAGAACCCCAGGGGAGGCUCAACAGCAUCCACAUUUCGGUCAUUUCCACAUUCCCUCACAGUGACAGUUUGGUUUGUAAUCCCUGGGAUUAGUGAUGACUGGGUUUCAUGGAGAAUUGAAAUAGUAAAUCCUGACAACUUCAAGUCAACACAGAAUUGACUCUGCAGCAUGGGCCUUCCCAGCAUCAUUCAUUCUCCAUUUGAAUCAACUAUUGGGUUGAUCCUUGCAAGUCCCCUACCCCCAUGGACAGAUCAGUUUGUUUCUCCAAUGUGUUAGCCUUGAGGUGGUUGAGGAGAGUGUUCAGUUAUACAUAAGUCAUCCCACAGAGCAGCUGGGGUGGGGACAGGCAUGGUGCAGCACUGACUGAAGAAACAGUAGUUGGGAACAGGAAACAUGAGAGCUGGUUGGAGAUAUAACAGGAGCUUCAACUAUGUUCCUUUUGCACAUGAAUUGUUUCACAUUUAAAGGAUGGAUAAAAAAGCCAACAAUAACCUUUAUUCUUUCUAAUCAUUGCUCAACCUUAGGAGCAAGGUGAUUCAUAAAAAAUGAUUGACCCAAUGCAAUGUAAUUUCUAAGCAAACCUACUGAUUAUCCAACUUUGUGGAAUGGUGAUUCUCAACCCUUAGGUAAAAUAAGUGGGAAUUCAUUUUCUGAGUUAGUUCAGAGGAAUUAUUAAUAACACUUUUCUUACAGGUUUUAUUUUUUGAAAGGCAGAGAUACAGAGAGAGAAGGAGAGAGACCUUCAUCCACUGGUGCACCCCUAGGUGGCCACACAGCAGGGGAUGGGCCAGGCCAAAGCGCAGAGCCAGGAGUUCAUCCAGAUCCCCCACGUGGAUGCAGGGGCCCAAGUACUUGAGCCAUCUGCUGCUGCUUUUCCCAAGCCAUUAGCAGGAAGCUGGAUCAGAAGCGAGGCAGCCCAGACUGGAAAAAUAUGGGAUGCUGACCCCACCAGGUGGAGGCUUUACCUUCUCUCCCACAGCACCAUCCUCUAUUAAUAACUCUUGUGCAAGAAAUACAAACAGAGAUAGGCAUGAAGGGGAAAAGUCACUCAGUUAAGUCAUCCAGGAACUCAUACAGUAUUUCAGUUAGGACAAGGUAACAAAGAAUUAUGAAGUUACGCUAGAAGAGUUACUCUGUUGUGAAGAGAAUUCCAAUAGAUUUCAUAUGGCUCAGGAUGGACACCUAAGGGAGAAAACAUCUGUGGGUUUCCAAUUCCCAAGGGUGGGCUUCAGCCCUCACAGGAUGUAGUACAGUUACAUCCCAGUAGACAGUGGACAGGUGUAUGUGUGACCAAAAACAGGUUUGGUUCACACUCGCUGGGCUGAAGGCAGCCACCUUCCUG